UGAGAGGACGGAGAAGGCUAAAUCAGCCUGGCGUUGGUUGUCCAGGUGAAAGGAUGUAGGCAUGUAUCUUAGGCAAAUCCGGGGUACUCUAUGCUGAGAUCUGAUAGCAAGCUGUACUUGUACAGCGAAGUGGUUGAUGCCAUGCUUCCAGGAAAAGUCUCUAAGCUUCAGUUACACAGGAAUCGUACCCGAAACCGACACAGGUGGUCAGGUCGAGUAGACCAAGGCGCUUGAGAGAACUCUGCUGAAGGAACUAGGCAAAAUGGUACCGUAACUUCGGGAGAAGGUACGCUGUUGUUGGUGAUGGAACUCGCUUCCUGAGCUGACGACAGCCGCAGAAACCAGGCCGCUGCAACUGUUUAUUAAAAACAUAGCACUCUGCAAACACGAAAGUGGACGUAUAGGGUGUGAUGCCUGCCCGGUGCUGGAAGGUUAAUUGAUGGGGUUAGCGUAAGCGAAGCUCUUGAUCGAAGCCCCAGUAAACGGCGGCCGUAACUAUAACGGUCCUAAGGUAGCGAAAUUCCUUGUCGGGUAAGUUCCGACCUGCACGAAUGGCAUAAUGAUGGCGGCGCUGUCUCCAGCAGAGGCUCAGUGAAAUCGAAAUCGCUGUGAAGAUGCAGUGUACCCGCGGCUAGACGGAAAGACCCCGUGAACCUUUACUGCAGCUUGACACUGAACUUUGACCUUACUUGUGUAGGAUAGGUGGGAGGCUUUGAAGCUGGAACGCUAGUUCCAGUGGAGCCGUCCUUGAAAUACCACCCUGGUAAUGUUGAGGUUCUAACUCUGUCCCGUGAUCCGGGACGAGGACCGUGUCUGGUGGGUAGUUUGACUGGGGCGGUCUCCUCCUAAAGAGUAACGGAGGAGUACGAAGGUGCGCUCAGCGUGGUCGGAAAUCACGCGUAGAGUAUAAAGGCAAAAGCGCGCUUAACUGCGAGACCCACAAGUCGAGCAGGUACGAAAGUAGGUCUUAGUGAUCCGGUGGUUCUGUAUGGAAGGGCCAUCGCUCAACGGAUAAAAGGUACUCUGGGGAUAACAGGCUGAUACCGCCCAAGAGUUCAUAUCGACGGCGGUGUUUGGCACCUCGAUGUCGGCUCAUCUCAUCCUGGGGCUGAAGCAGGUCCCAAGGGUAUGGCUGUUCGCCAUUUAAAGAGGUACGCGAGCUGGGUUUAGAACGUCGUGAGACAGUUCGGUCCCUAUCUACCGUGGGCGCUGGAAAUUUGAGAGGAUCUGCUCCUAGUACGAGAGGACCAGAGUGGACGAACCUCUGGUGUACCGGUUGUGACGCCAGUCGCAUCGCCGGGUAGCUAUGUUCGGAAGGGAUAACCGCUGAAAGCAUCUAAGCGGGAAGCCUACCUCAAGAUAAGAUUUCCCUAGGACUUUAUGUCCUCUAAAGAGCCGUUCGAGACUAGGACGUUGAUAGGUUGGAUGUGGAAGCAUAGUGAUAUGUGAAGCUGACCAAUACUAAUUGCUCGUGAGGCUUGACUAU
rnacentral:rRNA from 1 species